rnacentral:SRP_RNA from 1 species
GGAAACUGCCCACUACGAAGCUGAAAGCCAGGGCUAGGGCUCCGACGUGCCGGUAAUGACUUGUAGUUUGGAGAUCUGGUUUGCUGUAUGCCACUUUGACUGUACGCCCGCGCUAAAGCUCGGUAUCAAUAUGGACGCCCGGGGUGCUCAGGUUGGUUAACUAGGGCUGGACCGGGCCAGAGAGGAAACUCAACAGCCAGAAAAGUCCCGUGGAGUUGUGAUGGGAUCGCGCAUGAAGAGUGGGAGCUGCUUUGGGGCAGACCUGAAGUCCCCGGCGAUCCAAGCUACCGGCACGUUU